GAGCAGUUUUGGGGACGCUGGAAGAGGGAAUAUUUAUUGAAUAUUUCCCUGCGUCAGAAAUGGCAUAAGCCUCGGCGCAACCUUAAAACAAACGACAUUGUCAUCGUCAUUGAGGAUACACUUCCGAGGAAUCAGUGGCAGUUGGGGCGAGUGGUGGAGACCAUUCAAGGAACUGAUAAGUUGGUUCGUAGGGUUAGGGUUCAAGUCACAGAUCGGAGGCUGCAUGGGAAAUCGGACCCCCCUUUUAGGACCGUCAUCCUUGAGAGACCCAUCCAGAAGUUAGUGUUGUUGCUUGGAAAUGAAUGAUUGGAAAAUUUGAUUCCUUAUUUUAGUUGUGAGACAGUUCGGUGUCAGAGUUUUAACUGUUUGUGAAUCAUGUAUAAUUCGAUUGAUUAUGAAUUUAUCGUGGUAUGAUUGGGGGGAGUGUAAUUGACACCGAAUUGUCUUGGAGUGGCCACAGGAGGCGGUGUGUGUGGUGGAGAGGAGGUGAAGGACCAGCAAAAGGGAAUUAGGUUUUAUGGCCCUCACCUGCUUUCUGUUGGCAUGCGUUGCCUCAUUUUCGUUUGUUUGGUGUGGCGUGGUGUCCGGUUUCCCCGUGGCUUCUUUUUCCUUGUUGGAUGUUUGCUUGUCUUAAGGUGACGGGCAGCCUUAUAGAUGAUCCGUAAUAUAGCACCCCUCGGUGACGGAACGAGGUACGUUUGCCUUUUGUGAUUUAGUUGUUGUGAUAAUUGUAAGUUUCCUGUUGAUGAUGUAUUGUAAAUAAAUUGUUUUUUUUGUAUCUGUUUUUAAGUUUUCACGGUGCACAAUGAAGUGGAAAUAAAGAGUUGAAGCACC